AUUGUAGUCUGCAACUCGACUACAUGAAGCUGGAAUCGCUAGUAAUCGCGAAUCAGAAUGUCGCGGUGAAUACGUUCCCGGGUCUUGUACACACCGCCCGUCACACCAUGGGAGUCGGAAAUGCCCGAAGUCAGUGACCUAACCGAAAGGGAGGAGCUGCCGAAGGUGGAGCCGGUAACUGGGGUGAAGUCGUAACAAGGUAAC
rnacentral:rRNA from 1 species